GUACACUGAAAUGGCUUCUCGCCAUAGGGUCAGGCAUCCUUGCAUCCAAAUCAUCAAGACAGCAACCGUCCCUGCUAAGCUUUGCAAGAGGGAAAGCACCAAGCAAUUCCAUGACUCGAAGAUCAAAUUCCCCUUGGUGUUCAGGACUGUUAGGCCACCCACCAGAAAGCUGAAGACCACUUACAAGGCUUCAAGACCCAAUUUGUUUAUGUAAUUUGGUUGUUUAAGGAAUGAGAAAAAGUCAUCAGAGUUGUCUUGUUUUGAAAUGUUCGGUAGAGACCUUAUCAGCGGUUCUUCAACAUUUAUCUUCUUUUUAUAUGUGGG
rnacentral:misc_RNA from 1 species